UACGUAGGGUGCAAGCGUUAAUCGGAAUUACUGGGCGUAAAGCGUGCGCAGGCGGUUAUGUAAGACAGUUGUGAAAUCCCCGGGCUCAACCUGGGAACUGCAUCUGUGACUGCAUAGCUAGAGUACGGUAGAGGGGGAUGGAAUUCCGCGUGUAGCAGUGAAAUGCGUAGAUAUGCGGGGGAACACCGAUGGCGAAGGCAAUCCCCUGGACCUGUACUGGCGCUCAUGCACGAAAGCGUGGGGAGCAAACAGG
rnacentral:rRNA from 1 species